rnacentral:misc_RNA from 1 species
GAUGAAGAACGCAGCGAAAUGCGAUACGUAAUGUGAAUUGCAGAAUUCAGUGAAUCAUCGAGUCUUUGAACGCACAUUGCGCCCCCUGGUAUUCCGGGGGGCAUGCCUGUCCGAGCGUCAUUGCUGCCCUCAAGCACGGCUUGUGUGUUGGGCCUCCGUCCUCCUCCCGGGGGACGGGCCCGAAAGGCAGCGGCGGCACCGCGUCCGGUCCUCGAGCGUAUGGGGCUUCGUCACCCGCUCUUGUAGGCCCGGCCGGCGCUUGCCGACACAUCAAUCUUUUUUCCAGGUUGACCUCGGAUCAGGUAGGGAUACCCGCUGAACUUAAGCAUAUCAAUGCGGAGGA